UCGAACGAUGACGUCCCGCUUGCGGGGCGGAUUAGUGGCGAACGGGUGAGUAAUACGUGAGUAACCUGCCCUCGACUCUGGGAUAAGCCUGGGAAACCGGGUCUAAUACUGGAUACUACUUCUCACCGCAUGGUGGGUGGUGGAAAGGGUUUACUGGUUUUGGAUGGGCUCACGGCCUAUCAGCUUGUUGGUGGGGUAAUGGCUCACCAAGGCGACGACGGGUAGCCGGCCUGAGAGGGUGACCGGCCACACUGGGACUGAGACACGGCCCAGACUCCUACGGGAGGCAGCAGUGGGGAAUAUUGCACAAUGGGCGAAAGCCUGAUGCAGCGACGCCGCGUGAGGGAUGACGGCCUUCGGGUUGUAAACCUCUUUCAGUAGGGAAGAAGCGAAAGUGACGGUACCUGCAGAAGAAGCGCCGGCUAACUACGUGCCAGCAGCCGCGGUAAUACGUAGGGCGCAAGCGUUGUCCGGAAUUAUUGGGCGUAAAGAGCUCGUAGGCGGUUUGUCGCGUCUGCUGUGAAAGCCCGGGGCUCAACCCCGGGUCUGCAGUGGGUACGGGCAGACUAGAGUGCAGUAGGGGAGACUGGAAUUCCUGGUGUAGCGGUGAAAUGCGCAGAUAUCAGGAGGAACACCGAUGGCGAAGGCAGGUCUCUGGGCUGUUACUGACGCUGAGGAGCGAAAGCAUGGGGAGCGAACAG
rnacentral:rRNA from 1 species